rnacentral:rRNA from 1 species
UACGUAGGGUCCGAGCGUUGUCCGGAAUUACUGGGCGUAAAGAGCUCGUAGGCGGUUCGUCACGUCGGCUGUGAAAACCUGAGGCUCAACCUCCGGCCUGCAGUGGGUACGGGCAAACUAGAGUGCGGUAGGGGAGAUUGGAAUCCUGGUGUAGCGGUGGAAUGCGCAGAUAUCAGGAGGAACACCGGUGGCGAAGGCGGUUCUCUGGGCAUUACCUGACGCUGAGGAGCGAAAGCGUGGGGAGCGAACAGG